rnacentral:rRNA from 1 species
UAAGGAAUAUUGCUCAAUGGGCGCAAGCCUGAAGCAGCGACGCCGCGUGGGUGAUGAAGGUCUUCGGAUCGUAAAGCCCUUUUUUGGGUGACGAGCAAGGACGGUAGCCUAAGAAGAAGUCUCGGCUAACUACGUGCCAGCAGCCGCGGUAAAACGUAGGAGACGAGCGUUAUCCGGAAUUACUGGGCGUAAAGCGCGUGUAGGCGGUUGAGUAAGUUUGUCGUGAAAGCUCUCGGCUAAACUGGGAGAGGUCGAUGGAUACUGCUCGGCUGGAGUGGGGGAGAGGCAGGUGGAAUUCCGGGUGUAGUGGUGAAAUGCGUAGAGAUCCGGAGGAACACCAGUGGCGAAGGCGGCCUGCUGGCCCACCACUGACGCUGAGACGCGAAAGCAUGGGGAGCGAACGGGAUUAGAAACCCCGGUAGUCCAUGCCGUAAACGAUGCAAACUAAGUGUUCGUGAGGGGAAACCCUCGGGAGUGCUGAAGCUAACGCGUUAAGUUUGCCGCCU